rnacentral:rRNA from 1 species
UACGUAGGGUGCGAGCGUUAAUCGGAAUUACUGGGCGUAAAGCGUGCGCAGGCGGCUUUGCAAGACAGAUGUGAAAUCCCCGGGCUCAACCUGGGAACUGCCUUUGUGACUGCAUAGCUAGAGUACGGCAGAGGGGGAUGGAAUUCCGCGUGUAGCAGUGAAAUGCGUAGAUAUGCGGAGGAACACCAAUGGCGAAGGCAAUCCCCUGGGCCUGUACUGACGCUCAUGCACGAAAGCGUGGGGAGCAAACAGG